rfam:Giardia lamblia ATCC 50803 strain WB C6 ctg02_40, whole genome shotgun sequence.
ACCGCCUGUAAACGCCUUCCCCGAAUAAUUUCGGGCAGUCCUUGCCCGCGGAGGGCACUUAAGGCUCCGGGGCCCGGGGCAGAGUCGGCCCUCCCAGAGCCCGCCGACGCCCCCGAGCGCCAGCCCGGCGCAGGGGCCCGGCCACACU